rnacentral:rRNA from 1 species
GUGCCAGCCGCCGCGGUAAGACGAGGGGUCCAAGCGUUGUUCGGAAUCAUUGGGCGUAAAGCGGGUGUAGGCGGCUCUAUAAGUCAGGAGUGAAAGCCCCGAGCUUAACUUGGGAAGUGCUUUUGAUACUGCAGAGCUUGAAUGUGGGAGAGGGUAGUGGAAUUCCAGGUGUAGUGGUGAAAUACGUAGAUAUCUGGAGGAACACCGGUGGCGAAGGCGGCUACCUGGCCCAACAUUGACGCUGAGACCCGAAAGCAUGGGGAUCAAACAGGAUUAGAUACCCUUGUAGUCC